rnacentral:tRNA from 1 species
AGCUAGUUAUCUUAAGUUUAAAGAGUUAGGCUUUUAACCUAUUUAUGGUUUUUACCACUAGUUA